rnacentral:lncRNA from 1 species
AGAUGGAGAGGACGCUCUGCCAUUUAGAGGUCCUACUGAGUGGGCACACCUUUUCCCCUCGAGAAAACCUUGUUUCUACCAGAGAAAUGGGCAGAGGCCUCUCUCUGGAACUUGAACCUCUCUGUCCCUGGAAACAUCCCAAAGCAGGCCCAGCCUGCCAUGUUCCUUUGUUGGGGCACAGAGGGAAUGGAAUCUUACCGAUAAGGUGAGAAGAGCUUGAGAGAAUACCAAGGACGGGCCCACCCUUCUCCCUCCUCCCUCCAAACACCUCAGGCUAAAAGGGGAGGGAAAAAAAAGGCACCAACAAAGAGUUUAAGACAGCAAUUCCCAGCUUUUUCAAAUAUGAAGCAUUUUUUAACCAAUCCGUUUUUUAAUUCUUAAAUUCUUGACAUUACAGAACUAAACUGAAAUUUAUUAACAUUCCACUCUUACAUUUCUUAUCGACAAACAGAAAUAAAAUUCAUGAGCCAAAAAACCCAAAACAAAACUAAAAACAGGGAAAAGCUUAUAAAACUAAAUAUGGAUCCCAGCAUUAACAGCUGAACAGAGAAUGUGAUUUUUAAAUUCUUAGCGGAUGAUAAAGUUGUGUAGAAACUGAACACUUACAAAUUAUUUAAAACCUGGAAUCACUGACCAGAAAUUACACAGUUGGAUCAUGGGAGAACAGCAGAAAGGGGUUAUUGAGGGAACCUACACUGUUCUAGCUGCACCCCAUGCCCUUCUCAGAGGAAAGCCUGGCAUUGAUUAGAUACUGGGCCAGACUAAUACUGGCAGCAGAGCCAGUGAUAGUAACCUGCCUACCAGAGGAGCCUUCCACUGGGUUGGCAAUUUUGAUCUGGGCCCCGGACAUCUGGCGGAUCUCAUUAAUGUUGGCGCCUUGGCGCCCGAUUAUGCAGCCAAUUAAGUUAUUUGGAAUGGUGAGUUCAUGGGUGGUUUGAGUAGAUGCAUCCAAACUUGCCCAAUAGCCUUUCACCUCUGGAGAGCUGGAGUCAAUUCCGGCGAAUCCGGUCCCGCCGUGCAUCAUGGCAAAGUGAGACUGUUGUCUUGCCACCUGGUUCAGCUUGGCCAGAUCGAGCGGAGAAAUGGUGUGUUGUCCUUGAAUCGAGUAGGCAUCUAGAGGUGGUCCCUCCAGGUCAUGGGUGGCAUGGGGGUAGCCCGCAGCGUCGCUGCACCGAUCUUGGCCGCCCGCGCAGAUGACUGGGGAGCUGGCCGGCAUGGGCUGGUACGGAAUGGUCAUGACUCUCCCUUGCGGAGACUGGGAGAGCGUCUCCAGCAUGACCAGGCAAAUCUGCUUGACACACUCGGUGACAGACUGCGGCACGCCAGCGAUGGUGAUGGCCCGCUCGGUGGAGUUGGGCAGCAUAUCCCCCGCCACCUGGACCUGCGCCCCCGUACUCUCGCGGAUCUCUUUGAUCUUACACCCGCCUUUCCCAAUCAGGGAGCCGCACUGGGUGGCCGGCACCACCAGCCUCAGGGUGACCGGGGGCCUGCUGGCCGCGGUACUGUUGGUCAUGGAGCUGUUGAUAUCUUCCUCCAGCUUGUCGAUGAUCAUAGCGAAAGCCUUAAAGAUGGCAUUGGUGGGGCCGGUCAGAGUGAUGAUUCUCUCCGGACAAUUCCCCUCCGAGAUGUUGAUCCGCGCGCCACUCUCCUCGCGGAUCCUCUUAACCGACUCCCCUUUCUUCCCAAUGAUGCUUCCUACUUCCUUUCCGUGCAUAAGAAGCCGAAUGAGGAAGACAAACAUAAAGAUGAAGUGCUUAAUUCAAGGUCACACAAUGUCGGGGAUGGACCUCCAGAUUUCCUUACUGGUGAGACGUGGUCUUGUAACACAGUGGUUAAGAAUGUGACUUUGGAGCCAGCCUGCUAGGGGCUGAAUUCUGACUCAGCCAUUUACUAACUGUGUGACCUUAGUUCCCUGAGCACAUGCUGUUGAGUAAUCCUGCCUGGACCAGUACUUCCCUCACCCUAGACUUCACCUUCAGUUCCCCUUUAUACCACCUGCUGAAGCUGCCAGCCAGCCUUUUCGACCACCCUCCCUCCCCCAGGGGUGUUUGGCUUCUCAGACCCCAGCCUGAGCUAGUGCCCUUGGCUUCCUAGGGUCUUGCCAGGAAAGCAAAGGAGAACAUGCAUACCGCCAAAGAGUACCUAAUAAUAAGAACUCCCAUCCUGAAUUGUGAUUUAUAGUCAGCAUAGCACAUGUGUCAGGUGAUUAUACUUAGGCUGAUUUUAGCCUUAAUAAUCUGCUUCUGUGAUCCUGUAUGUGGGAAGCCUAGAAAUUUCUCUGUGAUCCUCCUUCCUGGAUCACUAAGAGACAAGUCAAGACAUAGGUCCAUUCUACCACCUGUGUUAAUCUGGGCCUUGUUGAGACCAUUUAAAGAAAGGCGUGAUGCUAGAAGUAAGGUCCAGGCCUCCUGCACACUGUUUCAAGGCUGUGACCAUAGUCAGAUCCUGUUGCUUGAGUCCAAAGAGUUUAAAAUAGUGUUGGAAACCUCCUAGGGAAAAAACAAAAAACAAAACACCACAUCUUCCUGGGUAAGGAAGUGACAUGUGCUGACUAGAGCAGGAGGGGUAGCCAAGGCUCCAAGUUCUAUUCUGGACCUGUUGUUGAUUUGAGGUGUGACAUUCAGCAAUCUGAGCUGAUGUUCUGUAGCUCUGAUUGGUUUCUCAUCUUCUGCAGAGAGAGUGAAAGAGGCUGUGCUUGCAGGGGAAAAGGUGAACACUGGUCUCCUGUCCUUUAGGAGAGCUUCACCAUUACACGUCCUGCCUCUCAUUUGAAUUUCCAGGCUUUUUUAGAGUCUCGCUCUAUUGCCCAGAUUGGAGUGCAGUGGUGUGAUCUCGGCUCACUGCAACCUCUGCCUCUGGGUUUAAGCGAUUCUCUCACCUCAGCCUCCCAAGUAGCUGGAAUUAUAGGUGCGUGCCACCAUGCCUGGCUAAUUUUUGUGUUUUUAGUAGAGACAGGGUUUCACCAUGUUGGCCAGGCUAGUCUCGAACUCCUGACCUCAAGUGAUCCACCCACCUCGGCCUCCCAACCAGGCUUUUUUAAAUGCAGAAACCGCCCGCCCCCAGAGUUAAUAUGGAAACCCAGCAAUGUUGUUUAUGUUUUACUUGAAUUCGUUUCAUCAGAAUUGCAUUCCUUUUAACAGUGUGAUUAGAUCAGCUCUUAGAGGGGAUGGCAGCUUCAGUAGGGUUUAGGAAAGGAAAGGAAUAUUUGUGUGGGGCACACACUUUGGCUUUGAUAGCUUGAGGAUACCAGGUACAUGAUAAUUUAGAUGGAUAACAGAAACUUGUGUCCCUUGAGAGCCAGGCAUGUAUUAGAUGCUUUCAUACAUUAUUUAAUUGUAAUACAAACCAAUAAAGUAUUCCCAUUUUUUGCACAUGGGCAAGCUGAAAGUCAAAGAAGUUAUGUAACUUGCCCAAGGUCACACAGCUAAUAAAAAGGCUGAGCUAGGAUUUAUUUCUCCUCAAGUCUGUACAACGCCAGAGCCCAUGCUGUUUUCACAGAGCUUUUCUGUCCCUGGUGAGAUUUAGGAAAGGAGGGUAGGAGAAAGAAGGGUGAUGAGAUGCCAUUUUUACCCACCUUGCGAUUUUGCUUGUUGGGACGUGUUUAGCCAGAACAUUCUGUUUAUAGAAUACUAGAUUCUAUAUAUAGAGAUGCUGCAGCAACAUAUGUGGGAAAGAUACCAAUUGGCUGUAGGUGAGGAUUUCAAAAAGCCUUUGUUCUUCAUCACAGCAUAGGCCACACGUGUCAAAACACCACUGGUAAUUGGUUUACUGCUUAAGUGGCUCUGUCCUAUCAUCUACAUAAAAUCUGUUGAUGUGGCUCACAAAGUCAGGUGUGAUGGGGCCAGAGGUGAGGGUGUGGUGUAUCCUCACUGCAUGUACUGGAGCUGGUGGCACCUGUUGUGUGACUACUGCAGUGAAUGAUUACUGAGUAAAUAAGAGGUGUCUCAGCCAGGCGUGGUGGCUCACGCCCGGAAUCCCAGCACUUUGGGAGGCCGAGGUGGGCGGAUCACCUGAGGUUGGGAGUUUGAGACCAGCCUGACCAACAUGGAGAAACCCCGUCUCUACUAAAAAUACAAAAUUAGCUGGGCGUGGUGGCUCAUGCCUGUGAUCCCAGCCACUUGGGAGGCUGUGGCAGGAGAAUCGCCUGAAUCCGCGAGGCGGUGGUUGCCGUGAGCCGAGAUCGUGUCAUUGCACUCUAGCCUGGGCAACAAGAGUGGAACUCUGUCUCAGAAAAACAAAACAAAACAUUAGGUGUCUCCUUUUUUCUUCUCCAAGGGAGACCAGAUAGCAGUGGGUGCUGGCACACAUCCAGGGAUCCUGGCCCCUGGGCUAGCAGAAGAGAUGGCUUGAAGGUGUCAGGUGAUGGAAUAAAAAGAGCUGGUCUGUCAAGUGGUAUAAUUUCAGGGGACCAAGAAUGUGUCCUGCCCCUCAAAAACUUGCCCUAGCUGUUUGCUAUUGCUUGGGAUCCCACAAUUGAAAUUUCUUUUUCUUGAUUUAAAUCUUUGAGACCCUAUUAAAAAUGAAGAGACUCCAGGAAGAGUUUUGAUUGUGAAACAUUUUGGUCAUGUUAACUGGAAGUAUGAAUGAGUUUAUAAGAUUGAUUUCUGAGAACCAGACUGAGGAAGGGAUAGGGAGGAGAAGGCACUGUGCCCCUAGUUGCAGGGACAAGAAGGAGACACCAAUGAGUUUGAGAUAAAGGCCUUGAAGAGAGAUGCUGGGUCUCUAAAGAAAUACUUGGUUUCCUUCACAGUUUUGUCUGAGAAAAGACAAGCAGCUGACAGUGCUGGUUAUGGAGGCCCAUGACCCCAAAAGAGGUUGUGCUGAGUAGAUAGCCCACCAGCAUGUUCGGAUGGAGGCACAAUGUUGUCUGGAGAGCAGCUGACAGCUAUAAUGUAACCAGGAGUGCUGGACCUUUGGGUCUGUGGUUUACUGUGAUGUACUGAGACAAAGACUGUCACAGAUCUUAGAAGGGGGAGGCACAGCUUCCAAGAAAUGAUGCAAAAUGGUGGCGCAAAAGAGGCCACCAGUGGCAACAAGGGCAGGGCAUUUCCUUUGUGGCUGGUGGUCACGGACAACUUCUGGUCUCAAUUUCCCAAUGAGCUAUGCUAAGAAAUUUACCAGAAAGCAAAAUAAGCCAUGCAAAAAGCGAUGACAAAGCACUUGGGGUAUCCAUGCAAAGGUGCAGUUCCCCCUUGUCCACUAAUUUUGUGGAGCCAAAAGAGCUGAUCCAGAAGCUGCAAAGAUAGUCCCUGUGAUUAAGACAUACAACUUUUUUUUUUUUAAAUGCGAGACUCUGUCUUACUCUGCCACCCAGGCUGGAGUGCAGUAGAGCAAUCUUGGCUCACUGCAACUUCCACCUCCUGGGUUCAAGUGAUUUUCCUGCCUUAGCGUCCCAAGUAGCUGGGAUUACAGGCGCGCACCACCACGCCCAGCUAAUUUUUGUAUUUUUAGUGGAGAUGGGGUUUCACCAUGUUGGCCAGGCUGGUCUUGAACUCCUGACCUCAGGUGAUACACCCGCCUCGGCCUCCCAAAGAAGGCAUACAGCUUUUUUGGCCUGAGUUCUUCCAAAGAGAGACCCUUCCUAGUUGACUUGGCAUCAUCUUUCAUUCACCAGUGUUCUCUAACUGCCUUUAUGAUUAGAAUUCUCACAGCGUUUUCUCCCCCAAGGGCAUAUUUUACAGAGGCAACUCAAAUCUCAGUGCCUUUCUGAACUCCUUACAAUUGGGUUUAUAGAUGCCUCCACCCUGAGGUUCAAUUUCACUGUCCAUAUUCCUAUUCUAAGUCUGGAGCACUUUAUUUUUGAUCCAGACUUUUAGCUUCACUGAGGCCUCUUGGGUUCUAGCUAAUUUUUUUGGACACAUUUCCCUAGUGGGCAGCCUAGGAAUGGCCUGUCCUCCCUAUCCCCCAAAGUUUGGCAAGGUCUGUACCCCCUACCUUAAUGGAAUCAGCACUACUUGAGAUUUCUGAACAUCCUACACCGUUUCCUCUCCCCUCAACCCCUGCAGCCUCAUACACGAGGUCUAGUGGAAAGCAGGAUCUGCUGAUCACUAGGAUAUUAGAGCCAGUGUCUCCAGUAGGGAAGAACUCCUGGGCAUGUGUUCUAUGCCCUGAAUGACAGCUCUCUGCCUAUCAGUUUCUGCUUUCCCUCCAUCUCACCUUUAUUUUGGCUUUUACCUAGAAGUACAAACUUUGUCUUGUUCCUCUGCCUGGACUUCCUAACCCUGUCCAGGACUAAAGCCCUGCUGUCAGUCCCUCACCAGGGACUUUCCACACUUUCCCUGGCCAGGUCACUUAUCUGAUACUAGAGCCUUUUCUUGCAUCUAGGCUUUAGUAGGUAGAGUUCUGUCCAUGCACAGAUCUCCCUGUGUUGACCACCUUGAACUUCGCCUAGUGCUCUUUGCGCUAAUUAGAUGCCAUGCUAGUCUGUCCUGCUGCCUUCUGGAACAAGGCUCUUAGCUUUGUUGAGCUCUUGCCCUGGAUUUCAUGUUAGCUGUCCAGCUGCCUGCACCUCAAAAAGAGCUUUUAAUAUGCAUUAUAAAACUCCAAAAGGGAAAUAGAAUAUAUAACAUUUUUCAAACGUAUUUAACUAGAGAUCCAUUUUUUUUUUCUGAAGGAAUAUUUAUUAAAAUCUUACAGAAUAUGUGUUUGGUGGAAUACAGUUUUGGAAAGAGUGAAUCUUUAUCCCAAAGGAAUGGACAUCAAAUAGAGUAAUUCCAGAUGAAGAUAAUGUUACUAUUACCUUCAUCUGAAAUUCCAGAUGAAGGUAGUAAUCACUAUUUCCUGUGUGUCUGCAUAAGGAUAGCUCUAAUCCGCAGUGGAACUCUAAAAUAGGGAGGAAGGAAGAAUUCUGCAUUCUUUCUUCCACUUUGAAUCCUCUUCUUCCCAAUGGAAACAGGAAGUGGUAAAUGCAAUGGUGCCAUCACGGCCAUGGUCGUCACUGGCUUCUGGAUACAAGAUAGGAGGGCUUCUCUGAGGCUCUCUUCCCUAGAUUGGACCUCUCAGAAUUUCUCUAGAGUGCUCCUGAGCACCCUUCCUUCUACUCUGGGACUAUAUUCAUCUCAGCAUCAGUCUCAAGUUUAACUGCUAGUUCAGGAUUUUGAUGUUACACAUGGGGAUCAGUGCCAGAUGGGAUGUAGCUCAUUUUUAUGGAAUGAGUAUGACAUAAAUUUUCUCCUUUCCCUAUUAAAUUUCUCUUCUAUAUCUUGUGGGCAGUCCAGACUAUAAUUUUUUUUUCAAUCCUUGAAUGGAGAUAAGCUCAUGCUCUGUGGGCAGGGCGGUGUUACAGGUGGGUCGCCAUUUAAAUCCGACUGGGUGGGUGACCACGUACCAGGAAUGGAAGUUGGCUUAGCUAGUAACCAAAGAGCAAGCCAGUUACUUCCCCUGCAUGCCAUUCCCAACCAGCACAGCUGGGGAAAGACCACCUGAAAGAAAUCUCUAAGACUUCUGAUGAAGAAAUUACUAGGUCCUCUUGAGACCCUCAUGUAUGUGUCUUUAUUGUCGUGAGUGAGAUCAUUAGUUGGCUGAUCUCAGUUGGCUUAGCUAAUCAUAAACUAGAUGGAAAGGCUCAGCUUUGACCAUGACCUUAAAUAUGGAUGGACCAUGUCCUUAGGUAUGUUCUUUGAGCAUCCAGUAAGCAGCAUUCUCCGUAGACAAGCCCCACCCUUGGGGCCUUAGCCUAUGGCAUUUGUCCAUUUUUGCCAUUUCUUCUGAAAGACUAUGGUUUUAACUGAAGACCAGGGAGUCAGCUCGCUUAUAGGAAGUGGGAAGAGGGCUUGAAAUGGGCAUUCAGAGAUCUUAAAUAGAGCUUGUAGUUUAUUUGGUCAGUCUACAAGUAUUUGCCACGUUAGUUUAGUUUAGUUUAGUUUAGUUUUGAGUCGGAGUCUCACUCUGUCACCCAGGCUGGAAUACAGUGGUGUGAUCUCGGCUCACUGAAACCUCUGCCUCCCGGGUUCAAGUGAUUCUCCUGCCUCAGCCUCCCGAGUAGGUCAGAUUACAGGGGCCUGCCACUGCGCCCGGCUAAUUUUUGUACUUUUAGUAAAGACGAAGUUUCACCAUCUUGGCCAGGCUGGUCUUGAACUUUUGACCUCAUGAUCCACCUGCCUCGGCCUCCCAAAGUGCUGGGAUUACAGGCGUGAGCCACCGUGCCCAGCCGGUAUUUGCUAAGUAUUAAUUGGCUUAUAACUGUGGAAAACUUGUUAACAGCUUUAGGAAGGCUGUUAGGGAAAGUCUCAGGUUGCAGUGAGCUGAGAUCAGGCCAUUGCACUCCGGCCUGGGUGACAGAGCAAGACUCCAUCUCAAAAUAAAUGAAUAAAAAUUUAAAAAAUAAAUAAAGAGACAAAGUCUUGCUCUGUCACUCAGGCUAGAGUGCGGUGGUGUGAUCACAGUUCACUGCAGCUUCAAACUUCUGAGCUCAAGCAAUCUUCCUGUCUCAGCCUCCCUGAGUAGUUGAGAUUACAUAGGUGGGUGCCACUAUGCCCAACUGUCUCUACUCCCUCUAUAUACUGUCUCUAGAUGAUGCCAUCUAUAUUUAUUGGUUCAGCUACCACUGAUACAUCAAGUACUUUAAUACCAUCAUCCUCCACCUAGAUUUUUCUCUCUUCUGAGUUUCUUACUCAUAAUAGCCAAACACUAUUGGCAUUGUAACCUGGAUAGCUCUUAAGCACCUUAAACUCAACAUGUCUCAAGCCAAAUUAUAUUGUUCAUCACACCAUUCUCUUUCCCUUUCCAAACCUCCUCCUCCUCCUCAUUUCCUUGAUUUAGGAGCAUCACUGUCUGGCGUCAUUUGUUAACAUGCUUUUGCAUUACUGUUUUCUAUUCCCCCACUGGGAAUUUAAUAGUCUCCGGUUGUAAUGUAAGAUGUUUAGGAUGUGGUUCUUUCUUUUCUUAUUCAAGAACAAUUAAAGGUUAAGCUGAGAUUCAGACUCUAAGUAAAAUGGAAGUCGUGGAGAGGAAGCAUCUGAGGGCUAGAACCUUGGAAGAAAACUUGAGAGUUGACUAAGGCCACCCUUAGGUGCAGUAGGGGCCAGAAGACCUUUUUAGGAGCAUGCAGAAUGGAGAAGAGGUGGGGCAUAUGAUCCUCAGUUUGUUUCUUGUGCAAGCAGAGUAAUUGGCACCUCCCCUGCUGGCUGUUUGUGUAAAUCACUGUGGAACCUCAUGUAAUCUGGUUUAAACGUCUAAGGAUUGAGCAUCCUAGUAUAACCCAUCAGCUAGCUGGAGUCAUCCUUCUCCUUAAAGUUUUGGCUGAAAAUGUCAUUCUUCAACUUACAGCAAGUUGUUCUGAUUCCUUCUUCAGAUUUCUUCAAAUUCCCAGGAGCUCUGAUUUUGAGCUCUUGCUUCCAUUGAAUUUGUUUAGAUUAUGGAUGGUUUACUAGAUCAAGUACACUGACCCUGUUUCCAUCCACAAUGAUACAGAUGUAGAACUCCCAGCUAAAGCCUUUAUAUGCGUUGCAGACUUUAUCAAAGGUUUGGGAUAAUGGAGAGAAUUCAACAUUGCAACAAAGUAAGCAACUUGAAUUCUAAUACUGGUUAUUCCUGUUCCUCAGAGUACUUUUGCCCACCCCUCCACUAGGGAUUUGUCAUUAUUCAUAUCACCCACAUAUGUUGGCUUUGUUUUUUUUUUUUUUUUGAGAUGGAGUUUUGCUUUCGUUGCCCCGGCUGGAGUGCCAUGGCAUGAUCUCGGCUUACUGCAACCUUUGCCUCCCACGUUCAAGUGAUUCUCCUACCUCAGCCUCCCAAGUAGCUGGGAUUACAGGCAUGUGCCACUAUGCCUGGCUAAUUUUUGUAUUUUUAGUAGAGACAGGGUUUCUCCAUGUUGGUCAGGCUGGUCUCGAACUCCCAACCUCAGGUGAUCCGCCCACCUCGGCUUCCCAAAGUGCUGGGAUUACAGGCGUAAGCCACCCCACCCAGCUGGCCUUGGUCUUUUAUAAUCUUAUCUUUCUCUCCUCUGCAAACUCUCCUUAGCAUAUUACCACUAGAACUCCAAAUACUUCUGUCAUUCUAUUUUGCAAGCAAUUUAACUCUCUCAAACUCUUCCUCCUAAAAUCACUUCUGGGUUCACUUCUGUGUGUCCAGAGCCUACCAAGGGGGAAUAAAGAGCUUCAUACGCUUUUUUUUCCCCCUUGAGACAUGGUUUUGUUCUGUUGCCAAGGCUGGAGUGAAGUGCUAUGAUGUGGUCAUAGCUCAUUGUAACCUCAAACUCUUGGCCUCAGGCAAUCCUCCCACCUUAGCCUCCUGAGUAGCUAGCACUUACAGGUGAUCACCACCACACCUGGCUACUAUUUUUUUUGUCUUUUAGUGACAGGGUCUUGGUAUGUUGCCCAGGCUGGUCUUGAACUUGGUAUGUUGCCCAGCCUGGUUGCCCAGGCCACUGGCCUCAAGCAAUUCAACUUUCUUGGCCUCCCAAAGUGUUGGGAAUACAAGCAUGAGCCACUCUGCCCAGCCUUCAUGCAUUUCUUUAGCUACACAAAGAAUAAUAUGUAGACCCUCUGAUGUUUACUUUUCCAUUAUCUUCCAUCUUUUGAAGGUAUUUCUUGUUUUGAGUAGCACUUACUGCUUAUCUGCAUAAUGGUUUUACAUUGAAGGAUCUAUGGAGGAAAAAUAGGAGGAUAUUCUAGGUAAAAGCAACAAUAAAAGCAGCAACCUUCACAAAACCUGUUGUGGACAAAUGAAAAACUAGUCCAACUGGGCAGAAGAAUUCUUGUCAAGGAGGAGAGCUCACAAUAGAUUAGAAAAUCCAGAAACAGACCUAGGUUUCAGCAGGAAAGGAUAGUGUUAGGACAAAUGAUACAGGACAGCUGGCUGACAAGAAAAAAAAUUUCUGUCACCAUAUAACAAAAUUAAUUCUAAAUGGAUUACAAGUUUUUACAUAAAAACUAAAGUAAUAAAUGUACUAGAAGAUAAUUUUUUUUUUGAAGUAUGGCACUAAAGGCAGAAACUAUAAAGGAAAAUGUGUGAUGAAUUAGCUAAAAAAAAGUAACAGCAUAAGCAAAAGUACAUGACAAACUGGUUAAAAACAGUUUUCAACAUAUCUCUAAUGUACACAGAGCUUUUACACGUUAAUAGGAAAAAAAAUACCACAAAAAAAUGGGCCAAAGUCAUAGAAGAAUAAAUUCAAAUGUGACUAACAAAGCAUAUAGAAAAAGGCUAUUUCAGCCAGGCGCAGUGCCUCAUGCCUGUAAUCCCAACACUUUGGGAGGUUUUUACAAAAAUGAAUUAGCCAGGAGUGGUGGUGCACACCUGUAGUCCCAGCAGUAGCUCAGGAGGCUGAGGCACGAGAACGGCCUGAAUGCAGGAGGCGGAGGUUGCAGUCAGCUGAGAUCACGCCACUGUGCCCCAGCCUGAGUGACAGAGCAAGACUCAUGCCUGUAAUCCCAGCACUUUAGGAAGUUGAGGCAGGCAGAUUGCUUGAGCUCAGGAGUUUGAGAACAGACUAACAAGUCACUGAUUAUGCCAAGGUGUUUAUCUACACCAAAAUUGGAAGGUUACCUAUCAUGAUGGAAAUGGGGCUAACUGGAAAGGGGAGCCACUCCUCUAGAAGGGGAAGAUGGAUUUGUUUCCUGGAGUUGAAUUUGAAGAGCUAGAGGUACAUCCAAGAGGAAAUGUUCCAUAGGCUGGAGAUUUCCAUUUAGAGAAAAAAAUUACUUCUAAAGUAGAAGCAAUAGGUGGGAGUGGAGACUCCCUAGAUUUGGCACCUUUGACAGGCUUGGAGGGGAGGUGGUAUUUUGGUUCUUCCCUUCCUGCCAGAAGUCUCCUUGAGAGAGACUGGAGAGGAGUGUGUGGUCUCAAUUAGAACCUGAAGAGUAGAGACUGGGGAGAGGUAGGAGUGGGCAGUAAUCAUAAACAACAGCCACAACAGCAUUUAAAAAUUACUUUAGGCCAGGCGCAGUGGCUCAUACCUGUAAUCCCAGCGCUUUGGGAGGCUGAGGUGGGAGGAUCCCUUGAGCCUAGGAGUUCGAGGCUGCAGUGAGCCAUGAUCGUGCCACUGCACUCCAGCCUGGGUGACAGAGUGAGUCCCUGUCUUGGAAAAAAAUAAAAAUUACUUUAGAAAGUGACACUAUAGUGACUUAAGUAACAGAAUCCUGUGUGUUUUAGAUUAUUACUUUUUUUUGUUUUUUGUUUAUGUGUACACUUCCAAUUUUGGUGUAGACAAACACCUUGGCAUUAUCAGUGACUUGUUACUCUGUUCUCCUCUUCCUGCCUGAGAGACUGUCAAAUCAGCACUUAUUCUAUAAAGUGUCUUUAGAUUGAUCCAUUUCUUUAUAAUCCCACCCGCCCACGCUAGUUGCUACCUUAUUAUUUCAUACUUGUAUUGCCAUUACAGCUUACUAACUGGUUUCUCUAAUUUCAUUUUCUGCUUCAUUCAUUUUGCAUGCUACAACAUAAAACCUGCCCUGAUCACUGCUUUUAUCACCACUAUCUGCUCAAGAGCCUACAAUGGCUCUUCAUUACCAAGCCCACCAAGGUAAAAUAAUUUUGUCCGGUUUCAGCCCACCCACCAUAUUCAAGUAACAGGGUGUCUCUUUUUCUGCCCACCUCUUCACUGCUCCUAGCUCCAGGCUGCAGCUUUUGCUCUGUCUGCCCCUCUUUGGAAAAUUCAUCUCUAAGAGACAGGGAGUGGAGAAAUGAGAAAUGAACUUUGAGG